rnacentral:rRNA from 1 species
AUUGAACGCUGGCGGCAUGCCUUACACAUGCAAGUCGAACGGUAACGCGGGGCAACCUGGCGACGAGUGGCGAACGGGUGAGUAAUAUAUCGGAACGUGCCCAGUAGUGGGGGAUAGCCCGGCGAAAGCCGGAUUAAUACCGCAUACGACCUACGGGUGAAAGCGGGGGAUCGCAAGACCUCGCGCUAUUGGAGCGGCCGAUAUCAGAUUAGGUAGUUGGUGGGGUAAAGCCUACCAAGCCUACGAUCUGUAGCUGGUCUGAGAGGACGACCAGCCACACUGGGACUGAGACACGGCCCAGACUCCUACGGGAGGCAGCAGU